ensembl:lncRNA
ACAGGUUCUGCCUGUACUCAGGGCAUUUCCACAGAUAAAGAGUGGCUGGUGGAAUUUUGGGGGCCUUUUGCUGCCUAUGCCACAUACCUGGAUUUUGCUUCAUUGAAAGACGACUUCCGAGGGGAAGAUUCCCUUGACCUUUUCUCAGCAAGUGCGUUGGCUCAGCUGUCCACCAAAAGUCACACCAUCUACAGCAGUUCAGCCAUGGCGCUCAUUUUCCAAACUAUCCGGAAAAAGGAAGACCCAGAGCAAUUUCUCAAGGCUUACCUGGAGGAGUUUAACCCCUUUGUGUUACAGGUAAACAAUGGUUUGCAUGACUGACUUGUCUCCUUUCCCAGACUUCUGCUCCACCAAACUUUCAAGAAUUUGGAUUAACAAUUCAUUUCUUUACAGGUGUAGCCUUUCAUGCUGUUUCUCAGGUUCAACAAAGUCUUUUCUCUUGCUUCUUUUUCCAGAACCGGAACCUGUUGAGCAAUACCAAAGUGCGAGACACCAUGCUGAUGUCAGCAGCAGAGAUCAUUUUUCCACAGAUUGCUGGUUUUUCCCUGGAAGACGCAAGCAGCUGGUUCCAGAAGCUCAACCUUCUUCUCCCAGGCAUUAAUGGGACAAUGCUUGAAUUGCUACCCAAUGAUAUGCCCUGCCCGUAUUACCAGACCAUUGUGAGAGCAUUGGAUGGUGUUCAUUCAGCACUGUCAGCCAGGAAGAAGAAGGCUGUGUACGACUUUCAAAAAGGUUAUUUGGCUGCCCAGUUUACAGAUUCUGGCUCAGCAUGUGAUGAUGGAACUACCGGAAUCCGAGACUGGCUGGUGAAAAAUUUGGGGGAGUUUUGCUCAGUGGCUAAACUAAGUGAACUUCAAGCUUUUUACCCAGAUCUAGAUGGAGUAAGUUUUUCUAGCCAGUGCUCUUAAGUAAGCAUUUCUGCACUUGGGCUUCUUUAGGCAAUGAGUCUACUUAGGGCCUCCUAACAGCCAGAUACUUUUAUUCCAAAAUAUUGCACUGCUAUGUGUCUUAAAGUUCUCCUCCAUUGUAUUUCUAAAGCUCUAGUUUGUAGUGUUAACAGGAGAAACCAUAUCAUAGUAUCUGAGUAUCAGCAGAGUCUUUCUGAAGUACGAUCUAAGCUACUACCUCACCUUGUUUAGAGUUGUGGUUUUUGAUUUGAUUGAUAAUGGGCUGUAGUCUUACCUCAGUAUUUAUGGUAUAGUAGAAUUCUUGGAGAAAAUUCUUAGCUACACAUCAGCCUAGCCUAGUUUUUAGCUAUACAUCGGGGAGGGGGCGUCUUUGAAGCACUAAAGAGAAAGUUGGAAAGCCAUGCUAGAUUCAGUGGUCCAUCUGGAAUCUAAUUUCUUCUAUCUGGAGGAAUCCAGGGUUAUGAGGGCCACAGUUAAUCACCACAAGUUCCACCUCGAUGCCAGGGCUGCUGAGGUCUGGGAUGGUUUAGCAAAUCCUGCAUUGAGCAGAGGGUUGGACUCAAUGACUCUCGAGGUCCCUUCUGACUCAAUUCUAUGAUUCUAUGAUUCUAUGAUUCUACGAUUCUAUGAAAUGUGGACCAUCACCAGGCAUUUCUGAGUUCCCAUCAUUCCGUGCCAAUGAGAGAUGACACAGAUUGAUGGGAGCUGUAGUUCAGAAACACCUGGAAGGCCACAGCUGAACAGCCCUGAUACAGUCCUUAACACAACAAUCCUGUCAAACCAAUCUUCCAUCUUGGAGCAAUGACAGAAGAAGUGGGUAGAGGUAAAAUCUUCUAAGUUACCCUUUGAGGAAAGGUGUUUUUCUUGCAUGGAUACUAUAUAAUGCUUAAUGAACAUGGAUAAAUACUAGUAGGGAACUAGGCUGUCACCCCAAUAGCAUUGCACCUGGAAAAACAUGGAGUUUCUGCUGGACAAUUCAAAUAGCUUCAUCUAAUGUAAC